rnacentral:rRNA from 1 species
AAACGUAGGAGGCGAGCGUUAUCCGGAUUUACUGGGCGUAAAGCGCGUGUAGGCGGCUCGACAAGUUGGAUGUGAAGGCUCCUGGCUUAACUGGGAGAGGUCGUUCAAAACUGUCGGGCUAGAGUAUGAGAGAGGGAGGUGGAAUUCCAGGUGUAGUGGUGAAAUGCGUAGAUAUCUGGAGGAACACCAGUGGCGAAAGCGGCCUCCUGGCUCAAAACUGACGCUCAGACGCGAAAGCUAGGGUAGCAAACGGGAUUAGAGACCCCGGUAGUCCUAGCUGUAAACGAUGUGGACUUGGCGUUGGUGGUGUUAAAUCCAUCAGUGCCGGAGCAAACGCGUUAAGUCCACCGCCUGGGGACUACGGCCGCAAGGUUAAA